rnacentral:rRNA from 1 species
GACGAACGCUGGCGGCGUGCUUAACACAUGCAAGUCGAACGGAAAGGCCCUGCUUUUGCGGGGUGCUCGAGUGGCGAACGGGUGAGUAACACGUGAGUAACCUGCCCUUGACUUUGGGAUAACUUCAGGAAACUGGGGCUAAUACCGGAUAGGAGCUCCUGCUGCAUGGUGGGGGUUGGAAAGUUUCGGCGGUUGGGGAUGGACUCGCGGCUUAUCAGCUUGUUGGUGGAGUAGUGGCUUACCAAGGCUUCGACGGGUAGCCUGCCUGGGAGGGUGACCGGGCACAAUGGGACUGAGAUACGGCCCAGACGCCUACGGGAGGCAGCAGUGGGGAAUAUUGCACAAUGGGCGGAAGCCUGAUGCAGCAACGCCGCGUGCGGGAUGACGGCCUUCGGGUUGUAAACCGCUUUCGCCUGUGACGAAGCGUGAGUGACGGUAAUGGGUAAAGAAGCACCGGCUAACUACGUG